rnacentral:rRNA from 1 species
GCGGUUAGAGGGUAGUCACAUUGUGUUUGAUUUUGACGAGAGCUGGAUUUGGUUGCUGAAUAAUUAUAGAUUCGUAAAAUUGAUCUACUUAUUAUUUAGUCAAUAACAAACAGUUGCGUCUUAUUCAAAUGCAUAAGAAAGAUUGAACAUUAAAGUGCGGGAAUAAACAGAAGGGAUUUCGACCUGAGGACUUUUGUACUUAGAGCUCUUCUGCAAAAACCGGGACUUAAUGUUGAGGGAAUUUAUCCUUUUUGGAGAAUCUUUUUUAUUAAGACGACUCUAACUGACCCGUCUUGAAACACGGACCAAGGAGUGUACCAAUCAUGCAAGUGAUAGGGUGUAGAAACCUGUAUCGCGUAGAGAAAUCGAGUAAAAGCAGCUAAUAACAAUGCAGCUGCGGCCUACCCUGAGUAUAUUACGAAGGGCUAGAGCAAGAGCAAGCUUGGUACGACCCGAAAGAUGGUGAACUACGCUUGAGUACGCCGAAGCCAGGGGAAACUCUGGUGGAAGGUGGAAGCGAUACUGACGUGCAAAUCGUUCGUCAAACUUGGGUGUAGGGGCGAAAGACUAAUCGAACCAUCUAGUAGCUGGUUCCCUCUGAAGUUUCUCUCAGGAUAGCUAAAGCCAUUUUUUUUAUAAAAUAGUUUUAUCAGGUAAAGCGAAUGAUUAGAGGAUCCGGCGUUCAAAGAGCGUUGACCUAUUCUCAAACUUUAAAUUGGUAAGCACUCUUAGUUUACUUAAAUGAACUAAGGGGAAGAAUAUAGGGCUUUAAGUGGGCCAUUUUUGGUAAGCAGAACUGGCGAUGAGGGAUGCUCCUUUCGUUGAGAUAAGGUGCCAAAAUCCCCGCUUAUCAGACACCAUAAAAGAUGUUGGUUCAUUUAGACAGCAGGACGGUGGCCCUGGAAGUCGGAACCCGCUAAGGAGUGUGUAACAACUCACCUGCCGAAUGAACUAGCUCUGAAAAUUGAUGGCGCUCAGCGGGGUACCGAUACUCAACCAUUGCUGUAAAUAAGAAACAAAGCAAUGCGUAAGAGGGCGUAGAUGUCAUAUAUUUUGUGUGUAGAAGGCUAAGGUGUAAACCUGGCUGGAACGGCAUCUAGUGCAGAUCUUGGUGGUAGUAGCAAAUAUUCAAAUGAGAACUUUGAAGACCGAAGUGGGGAAGGGUUCCGCGAGAACAGUAAUUGGUCGCGGGUUAGUCGGUCCUAAGGCUAAGGCAAACGCCGAUUUAAAGCAUAGAGAACUUAAUUGAUCUCUGCUGCCGAAAGGGAAAGUGGUUAACAUUCCACUACCUGCAUACGGAUAUUAUGCGGUAACGCAAACAAUCCUGAAGACGUCGGCAUGUGUCACUGGAAGAGUUCUCUUUUCUUUUUAACUAGUCAUGACCAUGGAACUGGAUUAUCCAGAGAUGUGGUUGUACGCUAGGCAGAGCAGUCCACUCUACGGGCUGUCAGUUGCACACAUGACGAUCAAUGAAAAUUCGGGGGCGAGGAUUAUUUCGUUGCAGGCCGUACCCAUAACCGCAUCAGGUCUCCAAGGUU